GACGGGGCGAUAAAAUUCAAGGCAUAUUAAUGUAAAUAUUUGUUAAACAAUUUCCAGUUACUUAGCUCCUCAAUAUUUAUCUCUAAUGGCCUGAUCAUUUUGUCUUUCCAAAUCCUAUUCCUCCAAAGUGAUCCAAAUUGUUGAUUAGUCAUAAGUCUCUUUUCCUCUCCUCCAAAGUGAUAGGAUGAUGAACUUCAAAGAGUAUCACAUUAAUUAACAAUAUCAAGGUUUUACUGACAUUACUUCGAUCAAUAACAGAGAGAAGGAUCUAUGCAAUUAUUUAACUGAUCAUCUAAUAAAAACUGUCAUUAUAAAACACAAGCAUCGUGCAAAAUGGCAAUCACAAUUCAUUUCAACAUGGACUAAAAUACAGUGCACCAUGCCUAUGCUGGUUGCAAGUCUAACUGGGACUGUAACAGAUGGCAUGCACAAUACAAGGGUAUAUACCCCUGCAUCAUGUCUGGCACAGUAUGAAAUGGAAACCUCAAUCCAUGUCUAUCAUAACUUUGUACAACUUUUAGUAACAAUCUGCCUCAUCAUGCUCUAUUCAUCCUCACCAGAAAUUGCUUUCAUUUUAACAAAAUAUCAAACAAAAGAGUAGGUUUUGACUUUUAUUCUUAAUCAUUGUAUUGACUUUUAUUCUUAAGCAUUCUAUUGUUGAACAACAAAACAUAACUUUUUACAUGGAAUGUCUGCCUUCAUCUAGCACAAUAUACAUUCAUUCUAGAAGGCAUCUUCGUUUGCAGAUAAUGAAUAGAUAAAAGUGACGUAAUCAGAAGAUUGCUCCCAAGGAUCUAACACAUACCCUCCAUGUUUAUCAUAACUUUGUACAACUUUUAGUAGCAAUCUGCCUCAUCAUGCUCUAUUCAUCUUCACCAGAAAUUGCUUUCAUUUUAACAAAAUAUCAAACAAAAGAGUAGGUUUUGACUUUUAUUCUUAAUCAUUGUUUUGACUUUUAUUCUUAAUUAUUCUAUUGUUGAACCACAAAACAUAACUUUUUACAUGGAAUGUCUGCCU
rnacentral:lncRNA from 1 species